rnacentral:pre_miRNA from 1 species
CUUGGGGGGAAGGGGAGUCCUUCAGCCUGGAUUGCAAGAGGGCGCAGGCCAGGCCAAGGGACCCCACCAGUGCAUG